rnacentral:rRNA from 1 species
AUGCCUGGCCUCCGCCACCCGUCCGUCCUCCGCUCCUUGACGCGCGCAGUCGCCGACAUCACCUGCGCACGCGACGCGCUCCGCCACCUCGGCCCCCGCCGCGAUCACGAGCUGGUCGACUCCGCCCGCGCCUUCCUCCUCUCGCACUCCCACGGAAACCUCGUCGGAUUGGAUAUCGAAGAGAAGGUGGUGGAGAGCCAGGAGGUGGUCCGGUUAGAUGAGGAGCACGAGGCUUACGGUGUCCUGCUGCGGGAGGCGGAGGAGAAGCUGGAGCGGGUGUACCGGAUGGCGAUGCACGGGAGGGACGUGGCGGAAGGGGGCGGCAAGAGAAGGGAGGACGAGGGAUCCGGCGGUGUGGACGAGGAGGUGGUGAGGCUGCUCAAGCAGGCGGAGGAAGGGAGAGUGGUGGAGCAGGUGCGCCUCGCCGACCGCCAGCUGCUCCACCUGCCUGAGCCCUUGGGCCGGAUCCGCGGCCUGCUCGUGCUCGACGUCUCGCGCAACCAGCUCCAGUUGCACAUACACGCACCACUCUGCUCGGCACUCUUCUUUACCGGUGGUUUUGGAUGGAGAUUGCAGGCUGUCCCCGAUGCCAUAGGCGGGCUUCAACAUCUGGAACAACUCCGGCUCGCUUCCAACGUCUUGGUCUCCCUCCCGGAUUCCAUCGGGCUUCUCUCCAACCUGAAGGUGCUCGACGUCUCCGGCAACAAGCUCAGAUCUCUGCCCGACAGCAUCUCAAGAUGCAGGUCACUGGUCGAGCUGGACGCCAGCUGCAACGUUCUGGCGUACCUCCCGACGGGCAUCGGCUACGAGCUGGUGAACCUGCAGAAGCUCUGGGUGCACCUCAACAAGCUGCGCUCGCUACCGUCCUCCAUCUGCGAGAUGCGGUCCCUGCGAAUCCUGGAUGUGCACUUCAACGAGCUCCGCGGCCUGCCCUCCUCCUUCGGCAAACUGGUGGCGCUUGAGUCGCUCAACCUGAGCAGCAACUUCAGCGACAUGCGGGACCUGCCGGCGUCGUUCGGCGACCUGGUCGGCCUUCGCGAGCUCGACCUCAGCAACAACCAGAUACACGCGCUGCCGGACUGCUUCGGAAGACUGGAGCGGCUGGAGCGGCUCUGCCUGGACCAGAACCGCCCAUGGAGGUGGUGGCCAAGGGCGUCGGAGCGGUGA